AUCUGGCUGUGUUUGUCUGUGUGUCAGUGUUUCUGUGUGUAUGUAUACCUCAUACACCUGUAUGUGCACUGGUGUGUGUGUAACUGUGCAUCUGAGUGUGUGGUAAUGCAUACAGCCCAGCAUUUUAAUGCCAACACAAAUACACUCCUACAUUCCAUCUCUAGCACUGUACACAUAUACACCCCUGCAUUUAUACCUUUAUGUAUGUGUGUGUGUAUAUACCUGUGCCAGUGUGUGUAUAUCAAAGUGCUUGUAUCU